rnacentral:rRNA from 1 species
UACAGAGACUGCAAGCGUUAUUCGGAUUCACUGGGCGUAAAGGGUGCGCAGGCGGCCAAGUGUGUGAGGCGUGAAAGCCCGGGGCUUAACCCCGGAAUUGCACCUCAAACUACUUGGCUAGAGCAUUGGAGAGGGGAGCAGAAUUCAUGGUGUAGCAGUGAAAUGCGUAGAUAUCAUGAGGAAUACCAGAGGCGAAGGCGGCUCCCUGGACAAUUGCUGACACUCAGGCACGAAAGCGUGGGGAGCAAAAGGG